GGCGGCGGAAAACUUCACACUGCAGGAAACUGUGAUGGAGGGAACUCCAAGUGCGCGCACUUAGUGUGCGCUUUUGUUGACUAUUAAUCGGUCAAUGAAUAAGGGCUGGGAAAGACCGGUGCCAGCCGCCGCGGUAAUACCGGCAGCUCAAGUGGUCGUCGCUUUUAUUGGGCUUAAAAACGUCCGUAGCCUGUUUGGUAAAUCUGUGGGUAAAUCAACCAGCUUAACUGGUUGAAUUCUGCAGAGACUGCCAGACUAGGGACCGGGAGAGGUGUGGGGGUACUCGUAGGGGGUAGGGGUAAAAUCCUGUCAUCCUUAGAGGACCACCAGUUGCGAAGGCGCCACACUGGAACGGAUUCGACGGUCAGGGACGAAGCCUAGGGGCAC
rnacentral:rRNA from 2 species